rnacentral:misc_RNA from 1 species
UCCACUUUUUAGUGGCAGUCUCGUUAGAGAAAUUCAACUAACGAUAGGGGUUGCGCUCGUUAUGGGACUUAACCCAACACCUCACGGCACGAGCUGACGACAGCCAUGCAGCACCUGUGCAUCCGUCCCUUGCGGGUACGUCCAUUUCUGGACGGUGCAGAUGCAUGUCAAACCCUGGUAAGGUUCUUCGCGUUGCUUCGAAUUAAACCACACGCUCCGCUGCUUGUGCGGGUCCCCGUCAAUUCCUUUGAGUUUUAACCUUGCGGUCGUACUCCCCAGGCGGACCACUUAUCGCGUUGGCUGUGACACGGAAGGGGUCGAUCCCUCCCACGUCGAGUGGUCAUCGUUUACGGCGAGGACUA